UAUGAGAUAUCUCAUGGCAGUAGCUAAUAUCAAGUUCUUUCAGCAUAGAACACCUUUUGGCCACCUCAAUCAGAGCAGCAUCAGAGACACACUGACUGCAUUUGAUUGAAAGAAUCUCAAGCUUUGGGCAUCUGAAGAUAAGUGGUGCAGGUAUUGCAACAAAAAUAGAGAAGCACUUUUAAACUUUUCAACGACAAAAUUAUGAACUUACGAGGUAUGGUGUAUGCCCCAAGGGCAAGGAUGUUCGCAUAUGUCAGCCAUAAUCCAUGGUCACAUUUAAGAUGACCCAACACUUCUAUCAGAGCCCAGAGAUGAAGAAUUAGACAAAAGGGGAAAUGGGACAGGACUACAGGAGAAGGUUCUGGCGAACAUACAAAUCGGGAGGCUCAAUAUUCAAUAUUUCAGCAGCCUCAAGCAUCAACUGAUGCAAUUCAGAUAGCUGACACAUAAGCACAACAUAUCAGAGUCGAAAGUAAGCUUAAACCACAAUUUUUGAGGCAACACAAGCUCCAGCAAUCACAAAAAAAAUGUUUGAGGGCUUUAAAUGAUAGCUUUUCUACUAUGAUGAAAUGCAAAUCAAGGUGACUAAUUCCUUCCAAGUUCAAAGUCAAGACUGUAAAGAUCUGUACAGAAUUCAAAUAUUCAAUUGCAGGAGCAAAUCCAACUGUGUAAUACACAACGCAUGUCCAAACAACAGAUUCAAGGACAGAAUAUGGCACACGCAGAAGCCAGCUCGAAAGUGACCAUGCCCAAGCAGGAUAGAAGCAAUUGUCUCUUUGCUUGUAAAAGACGGGGAGUCGAGUUAUCAUGAGAGACAACUCUGAAAGUCCAUUAAACAUCAUAUGUACAACCCCAUAGUAGAGGCAGUUAAGAUAGAGAUUUCCAUAAGUCACAUCUAUAGCAUGUAGCCUUGUCCGUAGGAAAGUUGUACCAGUGAUAAAUCCCACGAAUGCGACAUGUGAACAAGAGAAAAGAGACAGAUAAUGAUGAAACUCCAAAAUUCGAACUAUAAGUAACCAGAUCUUGGGAAAAACACGAAACCCUAAAAAAUCCAUGAGAAAUUAGAUCUUAAUUCUAGCAAAUUCGAAAAAUCAUCACAAGAUCUAAAACAAAUA